rnacentral:rRNA from 1 species
GUUAUAACCGGCGAUUUCCGAAUGGGGAAACCCAGUGUGAUUCGUCACACUAUCAUUAACUGAAUCCAUAGGUUAAUGAGGCGAACCGGGGGAACUGAAACAUCUAAGUACCCCGAGGAAAAGAAAUCAACCGAGAUUCCCCCAGUAGCGGCGAGCGAACGGGGAGGAGCCCAGAGCCUGAAUCAGUGUGUGUGUUAGUGGAAGCGUCUGGAAAGGCGCGCGAUACAGGGUGACAGCCCCGUACACAAAAAUGCACAUACUGUGAGCUCGAUGAGUAGGGCGGGACACGUGGUAUCCUGUCUGAAUAUGGGGGGACCAUCCUCCAAGGCUAAAUACUCCUGACUGACCGAUAGUGAACCAGUACCGUGA